UCCCCCCUUUAGCAUUAAUCCAAAUUUUCGUUUCCCCCUUUCUCUUUGCAUCUGUCUUCUUCUUUAUCUCCAAUCAACAGGUCUCUUUUGUGCAUCUCAAAUUAGCAGGUCUUCUCUCCUGCCCCUCCCCAGAUCCCUAAUUUUCACAUAUAGUCUCUGAUCAAUGGAAAUGGCUCACUCUGCUUGUCUCCACUCCAGAUCUGCUCGACCGGCAAAUCUCUCUCCCCCUCCCCCUCCCCCACCCCCACCCCCACCUUUUCUCUUUUCUCAGUUUUCUCAAAUGUCAGGACCAGGGAUAAAAAUAUGUAGUUCAAAAUCUGUUGGCGGAUGACAAAGUGAGCAUCCCUUGGCAAAGUGAGUAUUUGUUGGCGGAAUUCAUUUUGUGUGAAAUCCAGUUGAGUAUCCCGAAAAUGCAGAUUUUGGUAGCUUUGAUUUCUUCCCUAGUUAACAAGAAUUUCUCAUUGGAGAGUCAGGUCACUGAUUUACAGCACCAAAUUUACAGGCUCAAUGGGAGAUUGCAUCUUUGUAGUGGUUUGACCAGAUGAAGUAAGGUUUGGUGAGAUGAGGAUGAAUGUGACUGCAGGAUUAGGCUUGCGAAAGCAUGAUAUGCAGUUAUGAAGAAUGAAUGGAGGCUUGUUAUGAAAAAGACUUCAUGUAUGCUUUCUGGAGUUCAAUUUGUUGAAUUUCAUCCUAUUUGUACUGUAAUUCAGCUAAGAUCGGAAUGUUGCAAGAUCCCAAGUUCUUAUAUAUAUGGUUACUAGUAAUUGUUGUUAUUAGUUGGCUGUGAAAACUUUUGUUACUAAUUUAUG